rnacentral:sRNA from 1 species
GCACGCGCUCUGUUCAGCUCCGGGUGGCGGCCGCCGGAGUUGACGUUAGCCAUGGAAACCGAGAACUGGCCCGGGCGGGGCCGCGGUCAGCUCGUUGUUCGGCCGCCGCAGCUUUUCUGCCUCCGCAUUCGGGCAAUAACCAACCUCCCGGCGGGAGCGCCCAGCCCGGGUUUACCUGCAAAAAUGCGGUCCCCGGGAUGCCUUCGCGUCUUCCCUUCCCUCGGGUGACUUGAGGUUUAUGGUAAAUAUGCCAGCUCUAGAACAAAUGAAUCAGAUUUUACACAUCUUGUUUGUAUUUUUACCCUUUCUGUGGGCACUUGGGACUCUGCCCCCACCCGAUGCACUUUUCUUAUGGGCAAUGGAGCAGGUUUUAGAGUUCGGCCUUGGAGGCUCAUCUAUGUCAACCCACUUACGGUAUUUAUUUUUAAAUAUUGAUGUUGUAUGUAACAUUCUUAAAGAACAUUUUUCUUUUCAAGUAAAUCUUUUUUUCUUUUUUUUCUGUACAGGUUAUUA